rnacentral:rRNA from 1 species
UAAGUCGUUCCAAGCAGCACAGUGGUAGCAAUACCAUGGGUGGCGAGUGGCGGACGGGUGAGGAAUACAUCGGAAUCUACCUUUUCGUGGGGGAUAACGUAGGGAAACUUACGCUAAUACCGCAUACGACCUUAGGGUGAAAGCGGAGGACCUUCGGGCUUCGCGCGGAUAGAUGAGCCGAUGUCGGAUUAGCUAGUUGGCGGGGUAAAGGCCCACCAAGGCGACGAUCCGUAGCUGGUCUGAGAGGAUGAUCAGCCACACUGGAACUGAGACACGGUCCAGACUCCUACGGGAGGCAGCAGUGGGGAAUAUUGGACAAUGGGCGCAAGCCUGAUCCAGCCAUGCCGCGUGGGUGAAGAAGGCCUUCGGGUUGUAAAGCCCUUUUGUUGGGAAAGAAAAGCAGUCGGUUAAUACCCGAUUGUUCUGACGGUACCCAAAGAAUAAGCACCGGCUAACUUCGUGCCAGCAGCCGCGGUAAUACGAAGGGUGCAAGCGUUACUCGGAAUUACUGGGCGUAAAGCGUGCGUAGGUGGUUGUUUAAGUCCGUUGUGAAAGCCCUGGGCUCAACCUGGGAAUUGCAGUGGAUACUGGGCAACUAGAGUGUGGUAGAGGAUGGCGGAUUCCCGGUGUAGCAGUGAAAUGCGUAGAGAUCGGGAGGACAUCUGUGGCGAAGGCGGCAUCUGGACACACUGACACUGAGGCACGAAAGCGUGGGGGAGCAAACAGGAUUAGAAUACCCUGGUAGUCCACCGCCCUAAACGAU